ACUUCCUGGAUAGCUCAGUCGGUUGAGCAUUAGCAUUUUUAAUCUAAGGGUCCAGGGUUCAAGUCCCUGUUUGAGUU